rnacentral:rRNA from 1 species
AUGCACGCUGGCGGCGUGCCUAAUACAUGCCAGUCGAGCGAACAGAUGAGGAGCUUGCUCCUCUGACGUUAGCGGCGGACGGGUGAGUAACACGUGGAUAACCUACCUAUAGACUGGGAUAACUUCGGGAAACCGGAGCUAAUACCGGAUAAUAUAUUGAACCGCAUGGUUCAAUAGUGAAAGACGGUUUUGCUGUCACUUAUAGAUGGAUCCGCGCCGCAUUAGCUAGUUGGUAAGGUAACGGCUUACCAAGGCAACGAUGCGUAGCCGACCUGAGAGGGUGAUCGGCCACACUGGAACUGAGACACGGUCCAGACUCCUACGGGAGGCAGCAGUAGGGAAUCUUCCGCAAUGGGCGAAAGCCUGACGGAGCAACGCCGCGUGAGUGAUGAAGGUCUUCGGAUCGUAAAACUCUGUUAUUAGGGAAGAACAAAUGUGUAAGUAACUAUGCACGUCUUGACGGUACCUAAUCAGAAAGCCACGGCUAACUACGUG